ACCAGCACCCACAUUCUCAUCCUUUUUAGAUUUACUUACAAAUUUAGCAAUAUCAAGGACUUCAGGUAUAUCCAGAUGUUCAACACAAAUAUACACUAUACUCCCAUAGUUCACUUGACUAAAUAUCUUAAAAACUUAUUGGUCAUCAUAUAAAAAUCUAAGACUAUUCUUGAAAUCUAUUCCUGGUACCCCAUAGUGCAUUUUUUCCUUAUUACUAUAACCCAACUUAUUUAACUUAUCAAUAAUAUCAUACGAUACUUUGUCUACAUGAAUAUUCUCUAUCUCUAUCACUGAUCCCUC
rnacentral:lncRNA from 1 species